CAUAAGAGGGGCGGGGCUCAGCGCAGGGGUUUAUAAGCCGCUGCCCCGCCAGCCUCAGCGUACAUCGCGCUGAGACUUUGAAGUGCUGUGUGGACCCUGCAGCUCCAGAGUACUGGACAAAAUGGCAUCUGAUGAGGGAAAGCUCUUUGUUGGCGGUCUGAGUUUUGACACUAAUGAGCAGUCAUUGGAACAAGUCUUCUCUAAAUAUGGACAGAUUUCUGAAGUCGUUGUGGUGAAAGACAGAGAGACUCAAAGAUCCAGAGGUUUUGGCUUUGUUACAUUUGAAAACAUAGAUGAUGCUAAAGAUGCAAUGAUGGCUAUGAAUGGAAAGUCUGUAGAUGGACGUCAGAUCAGAGUUGAUCAGGCUGGAAAAUCAUCAGAGAACAGAUCUCGUGGAUACAGAGGGGGGUCUUCUGGGGGCAGAGGCUUUUUCCGUGGCGGCAGAGGUCGGGGCCGUGGCUUCUCUAGAGGAGGUGGAGACAGAGGCUAUGGCGGAAGCAGAUUUGAUUCCAGAAGUGGAGGAUAUAAUGGCUCCAGAGACUACUAUAAUAGCAGCAGGAGUCAAGGUGGUUAUGGUGACAGAUCUUCAGGAGGAUCCUACAGAGACAGCUAUGACAGUUACGGCUGAAGAGAAGAUGGACAUUCAACACUGAAGCUGGAUGGGAAUUCUGAGAAAGGAGCGCAUUCAUUCCAAGAAAGCUGUAUCAAGACUUGAGUUCACCAAGCAGCAGUGAAUUGCAUCGGAGAAGACCAAGAAGGACAGCUACUGAUGGGAAUGGAGGAGAAGAAAUUUGAGCAAUGUUGUUACUGAUUUUUUUAACAUAUAGAUCGAUUGAACAAACAAGUCAAGAUAGAAUAAAAUACUGGAAUAUGGAAAAAAGUCUGAAUCUCUGUAGUACUUUUGUGGGAAAACAUAAGAAUAGUAGAUUGUGGCCAAGGUGUACAAUAGAAAUCUAUUUGGUGUAUUGCCUAGGUUAAAAAAAGAUUUAAAGUGCAUUGCUGGUUGGGGGUGUGGAUAGAAAGGGUAACCUGUCUUUAUGAGCAAGUUUGAGGAAGAAUUUACAUUCUUGUAACCUUGAAUUAAGUGGCCUAGUUGCAUUGGUUUUUGCAUCUGCAAAACUAGUAAAGCAAGUACAUCUGAAAAGAACUGUUAGAUGAGCAAUUACUUAAACAUAGAAUCACUAUUGUUUGUUCAGAACAGAAGUAAGCUGCUUUUGCCAGUUGAAAUUGCAACAAAACUUAGGCAGAAGUUUAAUUUGCAUUUGAAUGCGCAAGCUGUUUUGAGCUUGGAUAAUGAAUGAUUUGUUUUCAUACACAUUAGUAUAAUUAAUGUGUUUUGCUGAUGAAAAUGAAGUGUGAUGUUCCUGCAACUCAUUACAGUGGUUAUACAUUCCCAAGCAACAUACAUUUCUGUUCUCAGAUGGUGCAUAGGAUUGGUCUGUCCUGCAGUGAGUGUUUUCUGUGUGUUUAAUCAUUUGCCUCAAUAUAAAGUUGGCCCAAGGUUCCCAUUUAUAUUAAGUUGUUACUUGUAACUCAAAAGCAAACUUCAGGCUUCUAGGAUAACUUAUGUUAAAAGUAAGUUUCACUGACUCCAGUUUGAAAAGUAACAAUCUGGUAUUAGCAAAUCCAGCUUUGGUCUUUUCCAUGGUCUGGAAUUCUCUAGUGGGGUAACUAGGGUGGGGGUAACAUCAGGUGAAAGCUAAUAGAGGUUGAGAGAUCAGUGAAGCUAAGUGAAGCAAGCCAAGUGUUGAAGCAGUACUGAGCCAUGCAGCUCUUGAGUACUGCAAUUAGAUUGUUUCAGAUGGAUGACUGAAGCAUUUGGACAACAAGCUGAGUAGAAAUGCUGCUGCAGAGACUGUCAGUGAUUGCCUUAGGCAUUGUUAUGAGGAAAACAGUGUCAGUUGAGUAUGGAAUAGUUACCUUGUACAAAAUUAUUUGCUUUUACUUAAUGAAAAGGCACAUAAAAGUCACCUUUUGGAAAUGGUGAAAAUGGCAAAUUUUGAAAGUUUUGGGGGGUACCCGUGGUUGCACAGUCUUGCAGAAGUGGGGUUGGGUGUUCGUGGGUAACAAGGUAGUAACUAGUUUGACUCAUUUCAGGAAGAUGCCUUGGGUGGAGUGGAGUGGGGGGAAGUACAGAGUUGCCUGAAGGAGAGUUAGGAAUAGAGCAGCCCUAGCACUUGGCAAGUUUUAAAACCUCAACAUAUUUGUGUGUGUAGCUAAUACACUCAAGAUGUUUGCCUGUGACUGAAGAACUGUGUAGUUGGAACAAAUCUCCCUAGUAAAUACAAAAUUCAACCUCAGACUGAAUGUGCAUAAGCCACCAUUUGGAAAAAUUUCAAUUUUGUACUCACUCCCUUUGAUUUUAUGGAAUAGAAUGGCUAAUAAAAGACUUCUUGCCAUCUUUCCUAA